CUUAACACAUGCAAGUCGAGGGGCAGCGCGGGGCGGCAACGUCCUGGCGGCGACCGGCGGAAGGGUGCGUAACGCGUGAGCGACAUGCCCGUUGCCCGGGGACAACCGGUGGAAACGCCGACUAAUCCCCGAUGGGACGGAGGCCCUCAUGGGCCUCUGUUGAAAGUUACGGCGGCGACGGAUUGGCUCGCGUCCGAUUAGCUUGUUGGCGGGGUAACGGCCCACCAAGGCUACGAUCGGUAGGGGUUCUGAGAGGAAGGUCCCCCACAAUGGAACUGAGACACGGUCCAUACUCC
rnacentral:rRNA from 1 species